AGCAGUCUAGCUCCUGAAUGGCCCAUUAAGCUUUGAGCUGUGAGGGAAAUUGGCGGAGAGGCUUUGCAGAUAGAGACGGAGUCUCGUCAGGUUAAGGUCCAUAAGAAAGCAACAGGGACUAAGAUGAAGAAGCCAGAGAAAAGAAUAUUAAUCAAAGUCAAAGGAAGCCAAUGUGUUUGGUAACUUGUGGUGGGGUUCACCCUGGCUGGAUGUCAAGUGCCACCAAAGUGCCACCUGCUUCUAUCAGUCCCCUCCUGCUGUGAAUGAGUGAUUUUUGCUAUCAAUGGCAUUAGCAAAAAUCUCUGCUCAGGAUAAUUUCACAUCUUCAGUGCUGGCAAAGGACAAGGCUGCUUCCCCAGCUUUCCAAAUUGUGAAGCUUGUUUGAGUUGGCAGGAAAAACACAGGGGCUUCAAUUGGCUGUGAUUGCUCUCUGGUUAAAGACCAAAGCAACAGAAAAUGCCUCAAUUUACCAGAAAAACCUUAUUCAGCAAAAUGGAACAAUGGACACUUCAGCAGUCUAAGCACAUAUUGAGGAAAAAGCUGGGAGGAGGAUCAUCUCACACCUCCUACCCGUCAUGAAAAAUCCAAAGUAAAGGAAAACACACAGGUCAAGUAUGCAGCUAAACCAACUUCCUUAACUACAAAGAGACUGAGAAUCAAUAGAUUUAGGAAGAAAACAGUUAAAUGUAUCUGAGACUAAUGACUCUACUGACAGUAACAUGGCAGCACUCUUUUCAACAUAGUAUUUAAUGUUUUUUCUAUCCAUUAUUUUAUCUAUGAUUUGGCAGUGUAACCAACUCUUUUUAUAAUGCUGUACUUAAAGAAAAUACUGUCUCCUUUGAUUAAGAUGAAUGAAAAUAAAAGCUAUCCUGAAGUGAAGGUAUUUCAGAUGGCAAGAUAUUAACAAUAAUAUGGAAAUAUAUGACAUAAAAAGAAUUUAUGGAAGAGAAAGAGUGUUACUUUAUCUGUCAUAUAAACUAAAGGUUGCUCUUCAGUGUAUGAGCACAUUUUUUUAUAGUUUAAAAGCAUUCUGGCAAACUUCAGCUGAACCUUUAACAAGAAAAUCAAAUCUUUAUAUACAAUCUAACUGAAAAAUAAAAGGCAACUUUUAGUACUAUCUCAGAUCAUCCUUGAUGUUUUCUCACCUCCACAUUACUAUUAACAAAAUUCUGCCUGUGAAAAAUUCUCUGUGUGUUACACUUCAUGACUUAUGAAAGGGAAAUUGCUUGCUGCAUUCCCCAGGAAGGCAUAAAUAUGAUCAGAACUCAGGUCAGCAAAGUCUAUUCCUGCAAAGCCUUCAUGUUGCCAGCCCUG